rnacentral:tRNA from 1 species
AAAAAGAUGAUAGAUCGGCUAUAUGAUUGGCUUGAAAUCAAUUAAGGUAGGUUCAACUCCUUCUCUUUUUG